GCGGAGGCGGUCUGCGGCGUCGGCGCUGAAAGCGCCCCGCUUAACGGGGCGAGGCGUGCCGAUACGCGCAGACUUGAGGCGAGCAGAGGGUGGUGGAAUUCCGGGUGGAGCGGUGAAAUGCGUAGAGAUCCGGAGGAACGCCAGUGGGGAAGCCGGCCACCUGGGCUCGGCCUGACGCUGCGGCGCGACAGCGUGGGGAGCAAACCGGAUUAGAUACCCGGGUAGUCCACGCCGUAAACGAUGCCAGCUCGGCGUGUGGCGCACGGUUGUGCGCUGCGUGCCUUAGCUCACGCGAUAAGCUGGCCGCCUGGGGACUACGAGCGCAAGCUUAAAACUCAAAGGAAUUGACGGGGGCUCGCACAAGCAGCGGAGCGUGUGGUUUAAUUCGACGCAACACGAAGAACCUUACCUGGGCUUGACAUGACGCUGCACGCCGUCGAAAGACGGCCGCCUGCGAGGGUGCGUCACAGGUGCUGCAUGGCUGUCGUCAGCUCGUGUCGUGAGAUGUUGGGUUCAGUCCCGCAACGAGCGCAACCCGCGUCGGUAGUUACUCGUGUCUACCGAGACUGCCGCCGUGACCGGCGGAGGAAGGCGCGGAUGACGUCAAGUCAGCAUGGCCCUUACGUCCAGGGCGACACACACGCUACGAUGGCCACGACAAUGCGUUGCCAAGCCGCAAGACGGAGCUAAUCGCUUAAACGUGGUCUCAGUGCAGAUCGGGGGCUGCAACUCGCCCCCGUGAAGGCGGAG
rnacentral:rRNA from 1 species